UUCCGAUUUUUGUAAGAAAAUGGAUUCACAUCUGUUUAUCUCUGAAUAUGAAUAAGAAUUCAGUGAUGGUGUACAUCAAUGGGAAAUCAGAUUUUGAGAAUGAAGCCACUUCAAGUAUCCUUCGUAAUCGUCUCUCCAACAAUACCCAGCUGCCAAUGGUAGUUCGCUUAGGACAUUACUUUUUUGACAAUAAGCCUCUGAUUGGAAUGUUGGCAUCUGUCAAUGUCUGGGACCGGGUGUUAAG